AUUCAAUUUGGAAUAAGUGCUAACCAACGAACACGCCAACUGCCACCAAAAUGAUGGGAAGCAGCAGACGAGAACAGAGAUGUCUACUCCAAAGGCCUCAGCCCUGCAAACUGCCCGGCUUUUUCAGUGAGUUGUAGCCAAUGAGGACUAUUCAAGUGGCAUCAAUGACUAGCGUUUAUUGAGAGGUUACGAUUUGCCAGGCUCUGCGCGGACAGUUUUGUAAGCAUUGUCGCCUAACCCUCACACAGCUCUAUGAGCCAGGGACAGUUAGUAUUCCCAUUUAGAGAGAAGCCUACUUGGUAUCAGAGAUCAAAAGCAACUCGUCCAAAGCCACACAGAUAAUCACACAGAGUGAGUGACUUCAGACUCCGUGUCCGUUGGCACAUGAAACCUGCUCCCCAAAUAUAUGACACAAAUAUUUGCACGUGACCCAUUUCCUCAUCUAUGUCUUCCACGGGGCUCUGGCUUCCUACGCCUCUCUGCCUGCUCUGCCGCCUUCUCAGCCAGGCCAUGUCUGGCCAGGAGGUGAUGCCCUAACAUGGCCUAAAAUGAAAUGUGGGGGCUGUCGUGUGUUCACCCAAGAAAUGUUAAAAGGAGAUUUUUGUUUCCAUUGAUUUAGUCAUGGAGCUAAAGUGAAAUGAUAUCCAUUUGGAUGAACAAAAAUGAAGACUCAGCACCCCCUUGGAUGAUCCAACAGCAAGUGACCCUUACUAAAAAGGUCGUCCGAUUCAAAAUGCCAUCUCCAGGUGCCAGAUUUGCAGAACUAAGGAACCUACACUUUAAUGAUAUAAUUUUUUCAAAGCACCGACAUCCGAAACAAGUGAAAUGGACACCGCCUCCAUCUUAUCAGUUCCCACGCACGUAGGUGCGGGCUCCGACGUGUUUCAUCAGGUUUGCAGAGAAAAUACUGAUCCAUCCCUCUUACUCCCCCUCCUCCACUGAUUCCUAACAAAGUCAUUCCUACAAAUCCCUGACAACCGACUCCCACAAAGGCCUUCAACAAUCCAGCCUUAGAUACAUGCAAAUACUUCCUGCAGGUAUUGAAAUGUAACUUUCUUCAUAAGCCUUUGGGAGUUUUGCUAACUCACAGGCUCUUCUUAACCUUUAUUAUAGAAGAGGAAUGCACUCAAUUUCCCAAAAAGAAACAGUGAAGAUGAUCAGGAAAGCAAAUAUUUGUUUUCAGGCUUUAAAAGUGUGAGAAGGUGUUCUGGAGAAUCCAUUUAGAUCCCGUUCCAACUCUUAGCCCUCCAGAAGAGAACAUGCCCGCCCUAACAAAUUAGACGUGGACAAUGUGUUUGGAUAUUGAUCUCUUGCCACAAGGAAAAAUAUUUCUUUGCUAGAAACAGGUUCAUAAGGGUAGAAAAACCUCAGGCUCCUUUUCGGUUGCCUCUCCCACGACGAGUGAAGAGUGUCAUUCCCCAGGUGACACUGGGGACAAUGUCUAUGACGGGGGCUUGAUGGCUGUGGCUCAGAGAGAGUGAAGUGCCAGUCCAUCACCAUAAAUGCAACAGGUUCAAGCACAGACCACAACCACAAAUUACAAGGUACACCUUGAGAGAAACGCAUGCACGGGGAAGAGUGCCAUGCAGCUUUUAAAUGACAGCCACGUGUUCACAGGCUUCUGUUCAGAGAGAACCUGUGAGCUGUCCUGGGGCCUUUCCUGUUUGCGGUGCAGGCAUCCCAAAUAUGAUGCCCCCAAAUCCGAGUCUGGCUAGAGGGAAGUGUCAUACAAAGGCCAUGCCAUUCUCCCUGACAAAAGACAUGAGUUUCUUGCAAGAUCACUAAGAAGUUUUAAGAGGUGGACUUGAAGAGAGUAGAAUGAAUUGGAAAGCCAGCAAGAAUGUGGCUCUUACUCGUCUGUGAAGUAUUUGCAGGAACAAGCCUGGAGACCAGCAGGUUCAGGAUGGAAAGCUGGAAAGAAUUCUUUCCUAAAACUUCAGUUUUAGAGAAAAAUAGGCAGCCAGUCCCAACUACCCAAAGGCGUCCAAAGCCAUGUUUGUUCUCGGAAGGCCAAGGCAUGGGAGGAUGUUAACUUGGGCUAUCAGCAGGAUUGAAGGGCAGGGUGACCUUGGUACGCUGUCAGGGCCUGUGUUUCCAAAUUGACAAACUGUUCUGAGCUUUUCCAUGAAACGAGUGAAGCCCUUUUCAUACCUCCUUCGUGUUCCAGAAUUCUUGCCAUCGAUGUUCCAAAGGAUCUGUGACAGAUUUAUGUCUAAAAUGGGACGAGUUGUAACAUUCAGAAUUAUUUUAUCUUUCUGAGACCUGCUGUUAUUGUGAGACCCUAGACAAGCUUUGCUGGGGUUGGGGUGAGGGUACUCCUAACGAGGGAAGGAAAAAGAAACGGCUUCAAGGCAAUCCAUGUGGGUGAUUGCAUGCACGCUUGUUCCAUCUUCCAUUUGUGCCUGCCCAAAAUGUUCUAGAACUGACCAGACCUGAGAGGCUGUCUCAUUAGAACUAAGAGAAGGUAUUGUUGAUGAUGUCUUAUAUCCAUGGAAGAAUUCCCUGGGCAUUUCCUCUGAUGCUGCCUGGGAUACCUACAUUGCUCAAAGUACAGUUUCUUUAUGAAUGGGGACGAAACAUUGCAUUGGGGUAUCCAUUCUUCCAUGGUUGGUUUGAAAUGGCCAAGCAGAAGUGCCAUAGAAAUUUGCCAACAAAAUAAGCAUCCAACUGAUAGUGUCAUCCUUCUACAUGGAACAAAUCUGAUGGCCUGUCACCGAAAUUUUCCAACUGGGCCACCUUGAUGCCCUUGCUAAAGGACUGCAGGGUGUUUAUAAGAGAUAAAAGAAGAUAUUUAGCAUGUGUUUAUUUGAAACAUUUUACAUUUUUUACUCUACUUCUUUAACCUCUGUUAUGGUUAUAGCUAGCUCGUGUACUGCGUAUAAAUGUAUGCAUCUGUAUUCGCCAUGUACACCAAAAUAAACCUUUGAAAUUAUUGCCAGGCAGAUUUAAUGAGCUCAGUUCUCAUAGCGCAAAGAAUAUCUUCAUAGUACAGGUGAAACAAACAGUUUCUCCCUUCCCUUCUUCUGCACAGAAUGGUUCUACGAAGUCUGCCUGCCAAAUUACGUCUUUUAGAAAACCAAGUAGCUGGCUGUUUUGUGAGCAGGCAGGAUUUCAGGACCAACCACAAACACGCUGUUUGUUUAGAUUUUAAGGUUGACAGUUCCUUUACACGUAUGCUCCAUAAGUAUUCUAUAACAUAGUCCUGAAAAAGCACUGAAAAAAAAAAAAACACACACACAAGGUCUCUGCUGGGGCCACAUCAUGGUAACGACUUAACUCUUAACUCUGCCUUCCAGAAACAAAUUGAGAGAAUGUACUUUGCAAUAAUUCACAUCUCACAGGUAGGCCCCCAAUGUCCAGCCCCGCUAUUUCAAAUCGGGCAUGUCUGCGUUAGGUGUGUGGAUUUCCAUAGAGAGCUCACUGGAACAGACCAUUUCUCAGGUUCCAAGACGCUGGCCUUGUUAAUAUUUCAUUUAGAACAUACUGUGGAGAGCAUCUCAUUUAUAUUACUUCCAUAAUUAAUGGUGAUAGCUUAGGCACUGCCUUUACACAGAGAGAUCGCUUCACAGUGGUCGAUGGGUAAUGAGAAACAAUAGAUAUUUCAUUCACCAGCAGCGUGUUGCUAGUUAGCAGGAAAUGAUCGUGUGUGCUGUUGCUUUAAUUGCCCGGGUAAAUAAUUCUGCCUCGGUGUUAGUGAGCAUUUUAAAGCACUUGAUGCAAAUAGACUAGAAACAAAACAAACAAAAAAAAUUAACCUUGAUUAUGCAACACCUUAGCAUAGAAAGUUACAAAGGUAUGUCUUUUUUAAAGUUUGCAUUCUAUCAUGCAAAUAUUAUCUAAAUAUGCAUGUGCUGACUACUCAUCUACUGUAUUUUAGGAAAUACAAUUAGGCUGCCUUUCUCUUCCCCUACGUAGACUGUAAAUAACUGUAGAUCUUUCUCUUGUUUCCCUAUGUAAAUAUAUGUAAAUACUAACAAGCUAUGCAUGCUGCUAUUCUAGGCAAUUUCAGGUACUUUUAUAAUAUGAAGGCAUGUACUUGAACUCGUUUGUUAACAGAGGGGAAAAAACUCUCCCAAACUCUUUAAAGCCGAAUAGAAAUUAAAGAUUUCUUCCUA
rnacentral:antisense_RNA from 1 species